GGGCUCAAAGGGCAGGACUGGGCUUAUCGUGGAAGGAGUGGAUUGUUCAUUUACUGCAUUAUCAGUAUUCAAGUAAAUUUGCUGAAGAUGAUAACUGUGACUUAAGCCAAGAAAGGAUAAAUUUAUUUACCAUUUGGCUCCAGUUGAAAAAUCACAUGGCAGACUGCAAAACAGAACAUCAAGAUCACAAAAGAAAAAAUCCAAGUCACCUGAGAGAAGUAAAUACUGUAUAAAUGCAAAAAACUACGAACAGCCUACAAUUUCUUCAAAAUCACACUCUCCAUCUCCCUACACAAAAAGACGCAUGUGUGAGCUAUCUGAAGACACCAGGCGGCGGCUGGCCCAUUUAAAUCUGGGACCCUAUGAGUUCAAAAAAGAAACAGAUAAACCUCCAUUUGUGAUUAGACAUGUUGAUCCCCCAAGUCCCAGGGCUGAUACUUUAUUGGGAUCUUCUGGAAGAGACUGUGAAAGAGAUGGAUGGUCAAGGGUGCACAAUGAUCAUUCUCAUCUUGGCUGCUGCCGACCCAAGGAUUAUAAGGUUAUCAGGACACCCCAUGGGAGAGACUUCGAUGACUCUUUAGAAAAAUGUGAAGAGUAUUUGAGCCCAAGGUCGUGUAGUAAGCCCCGGCAUUCAGCGAGGACCUUGCUAGUCCAUUCAGCACCCUCAACAAUGCCAAAGCAUUCUCCAAGCCCUGUGUUAAAUAGAGCUUCUCUCAGGGAAAGAUUUCAUUCUGAUUGGUGUUCACCUUCAAACUGCGAUGAGAUCCAUGACCGGGUAAAAAAUGUCUUGAAAUCACAUCAGGCUCAUCAAAGACAUUUAUAUGAUGAGAGAGACCUAGAGAAAGAUGAUGAACUGGAACUGAAAAGAAGUCUUUUAUGUAGAGACUCUGCCUAUGA
rnacentral:lncRNA from 1 species